CCACUACCCACGAGAUUUCCCCCAGAGGGAAGCCUUUGCUUAGGCACUUCUUGUGUAGCCACCAAAUCAGGGAAUUGUGUACCAAUAGUGAAAUCUUGAUGUGUUGGAGUAGAUUUUUUAUAGAAAAUUGUAGCAGGAGAUUCGCUUGGAAUGAUCUCAUGCUCCACUGUGCCCACCUGCUCAGCCCUAUUGUGGAAGACAUGGAUCUGAGCAGACUCAUCGCCUUCUUUGCUGAGGCAACUCUGGAUGCCAAUAUUUCCCUUAUCUGUUUCCUGAGUUUCAGAAUUCUUUUCAGGGAGAGCUGAAUGGUACCUAUCGACGUGUUGAAGUGAGCUCCCAGGUAUGUCAUAGACUGACUCGGACAGAGAUGGCUCUUCUUGACGUUGAUCUUCU